rnacentral:rRNA from 1 species
GAACCUUACCUGGUCUUGACAUCCCGGAGACCCUUAGGAAACUAGGGGGUGCUUCCAUCUGGAAGAAUCUGGAGACAGGUGCUGCAUGGCUGUCGUCAGCUCGUGUCGUGAGAUGUUGGGUUAAGUCCCGCAACGAGCGCAACCCUUGCCUUUAGUUGCCAGCAGUUCGGCUGGGCACUCUAAAGGGACUGCCGGUGUUAAACCGGAGGAAGGUGGGGAUGACGUCAAGUCCUCAUGGCCUUUAUGACCAGGGCUACACACGUACUACAAUGGCCGAUACAAAGGGCAGCGACACUGCGAGGUGAAGCCAAUCCCGUAAAAUCGGUCUCAGUCCGGGUUGGAGUCUGCAACUCGACUCCAUGAAGUUGGAAUCGCUAGUAAUCGUGGAUCAGCAUGCCACGGUGAAUACGUUCCCGGGCCUU